UCUACGGGAGGCAGCAGUGGGGAAUAUUGGGCAAUGGGCGCAAGCCUGACCCAGCAACGCCGCGUGAAGGAAGAAGGCUUUCGGGUUGUAAACUUCUUUUGUCAGGGACGAAGCAAGUGACGGUACCUGACGAAUAAGCCACGGCUAACUACGUGCCAGCAGCCGCGGUAAUCCGUAGGUGGCAAGCGUUAUCCGGAUUUAUGGGGUGUAAAGGGCGUGUAGGCGGGAAUGCAAGUCAGAUGUGAAAACUAUGGGUUCAACCCAUAGCCUGCAUUGGAAACUGUGUUUCUUGAGUGCUGGAGAGGCAAGCGGAAUGCCGGGUGUAGCGGUGAAAUGCGUAGAUAUACGGAGGAACACCAGUGGCGAAGGCGGAUUGCUGGACAGUAACUGACGCUGAGGCGCGAAAGCGUGGGGAGCAAACAGGAUUAGAUACCCCUGUAGUC
rnacentral:rRNA from 1 species